rnacentral:rRNA from 1 species
AGUUUGAUCAUGGCUCAGAACGAACGCUGGCGGCAUGCCUAACACAUGCAAGUCGAACGAAGCCUUCGGGCUUAGUGGCGCACGGGUGCGUAACACGUGGGAAUCUGCCCUUCGGUUCGGAAUAACAGUUAGAAAUGACUGCUAAUACCGGAUGAUGACGAAAGUCCAAAGAUUUAUCGCCGAAGAAUGAGCCCGCGUAGGAUUAGGUAGUUGGUAGGGUAAUGGCCUACCAAGCCGACGAUCCUUAGCUGGUCUGAGAGGAUGAUCAGCCACACUGGGACUGAGACACGGCCCAGACUCCUACGGGAGGCAGCAGUGGGGAAUAUUGGACAAUGGGCGAAAGCCUGAUCCAGCAAUGCCGCGUGAGUGAUGAAGGCCUUAGGGUUGUAAAGCUCUUUUACCAGGGAUGAUAAUGACAGUACCUGGAGAAUAAGCUCCGGCUAACUCCGUG